UACGGAGGGUGCAAGCGUUGUUCGGAAUCACUGGGCGUAAAGCGCGUGUAGGCGACCCAUUAAGUCUGAUGUGAAAGCCCGGGGCUCACCCCCGGAAGUGCAUUGGAAACUGAUGGACUCGAGUCCCGGAGAGGAGGGUGGAAUGCUUGGUGUAGAGGUGAAAUUCGUAGAUAUCAAGCGGAACACCGGUGGCGAAGGCGGCCUUCUGGACAGUGACUGACGCUGAGACGCGAAAGCGUGGGGAGCAAACAGG
rnacentral:rRNA from 1 species